UACGAAGGGGGCGAGCGUUGUUCGGAAUUACUGGGCGUAAAGGGCGCGCAGGCGGCUCUGAAAGUCAGAUGUGAAAGCCCCGGGCUUAACCUGGGAAUUGCAUUUGGUACUCUGGAGCUUGAGUACGGGAGAGGAGAGUGGAAUUCCCAGUGUAGAGGUGAAAUUCGUAGAUAUUGGGAAGAACACCGGUGGCGAAGGCGGCUCUCUGGACCGUAACUGACGCUGAGGCGCGAAAGCGUGGGGAGCAAACAGG
rnacentral:rRNA from 1 species